rnacentral:misc_RNA from 1 species
UGACUUAACGAGCGAGCAUGCUAUGUCGGUAGGAUGUAAACAUUGUCAGUGUGUUGGGAGAGGGGAAUGGCCGGUAGCAGUGGACACGUGUGUCGGUCGGCUGGACAUGUACCUGGCAUACUGGAUACCUACCAAGUGACACCAUGACGGAAUAUAUCGGCAAGGACGAACAGACCCUGCGUUCUCUUUUGGAUGCUUGUACUAGUUUUGAAGAGAGGAGAAAGAUACGAGCUGCCAUUCGCCAGCUGAAAGAUGGGGCAGUGAAAUCUCACAGUUUCUCUGUCAAACCAUUUGUCUCAAGUGCAUUAGACAAUAAGGAUGCAGGGACUGGUGUAGCUCGACCCAGUCUAGGUCUUCACAGGACAUCCAGUGACAACUUCAACAGCAUUUCCCAACGCAGGAGCUACCACUGCGGUACAUCUUCAAGUGAUGGCACAACUAGGUCCAGCAGUGGGGAUUCCUGGACACCAUCAGGGGAUAGCAAUAGAGUGCCCAGGCACAGUGGACACUUAUCAAGCUCAGAGGGGAGAAACGGUGUGGAUAGAUACAGUUCUAGGUAUUCCUCUGGAGGCACAACAGACACUAGAACAGAGGUAUUGCCGCCGAGGAGUUUUCAUUCAUCUACCUCAAAUAGCAACAGCAAUCCAAAUUCCAGAUCAUAUGCUGCAUCCUCUGCAGAUGGUAACAGUGUAACUCAACUGAGGAGCUCACAUCUCUCUACAUCUGCCAGCAUCUUGUGUCCAAGCAGUGUAGUCUCUGUCGGGCCAUCCACAGACUGUGUAUCUAGUCACACCUCCAGAGUGGAGUCGCACCAUCCAAUCAUCAAAGCAGGACAUGACAAACAUAGUAAUGCCAGCAGAAUUCUCGUCAAUAUUCGAGAGUCAUUAAACUCUGUGGUGUUAAGAAAAAAUGUUUUAAAUAUCCAUUCAACUCCACCACAGACCUCGAGCAGUGUUAACUUCAGGAACGGUGUUUCCAAUGCCCUCACCGACCUUGCAUCAGAGGGGUUGGCAACUCCUCUCCAGGAGGUGAGCAGUGCUUGUGUGAGCAGUGCCAGGUCAGUGUCACUCAGCUCUGAUGAUCUCACCAGAAGCAGUGACAACAUCCCUCGAUGGCGCAGUGCCUCCUACACCUCUAUACCGGGGGCAGAUAACAACAUAAAACAGAAGACCGCUGCAAGUGCUUUGGUGAUAAAUGACUCUGUUAUAGAAAACUGCAAAUCUGAGGAAUACCUGCAAUACCUGCUAUUGAGAUCCUCAGAAUUUGUAGAAAGACGAAAACUUAGAACCAGGAUAAGAGAACUACGUGAAAACAGAGAAGACAAGGACCUUGUUGAGAAAGGUGAUUUGAAGAAGAGCAACUCCGAUGACAGCAAAGUUAAACAUAGUAGCCAUGGCCUUACUCCAAGGGGAACAACCCUUACUCAUGUACAGAGGGACAACCCUGCUGGUGGAGGCACACUACAGCUGGAUUAUGACAAGAUAGAAACACUGGAGGAAUUCAAAACAUUGCUUGCUGUCACAGAAGACUAUGAAGAGAAGAGGAAAAUCAGGAAUUCUAUGCGUCAGCUUCGAAGACGAUUGGAUUUAGAGAAAGUCAAGUUGUCUGCUGGAAAUAGGUUGUCGAAGGCCGAGAGCAGCCUGCGGCGCCAGUCAGAGGACAUCACACUGCACAGACCUCAGUUUGUGAGCCAGACAGACUCCAGAAGACUCUCAGAGGAUGGAACCAGCACCAAGGUCAAUACUGGCCUGGAUAAGAGAGAGGACAGCACACUGAAACACUUUGACCUGAGACAGACUGAUUCUGACUCCAUAGUCAGAUUAAACUACCCAACAGUUGAGAUCCAAUUCUCUACUGAACAGCUGAAACAAACGGUGACAACUAGUGAGGGCGGUAGGGCAGGAAACAAAGUGGGACCUUGCACAGACAGGGCUGACAAGGCAGGGACAUCCUCUUCUACAAGUGUGCCCAAGAAGGCAGAGGCAGGAGCUGGAGCUGGGGUGGAGGAAGAAGACUUUCUCUCCAAGAUUAAAGCUAGGCUUAGUAGUCGAGAGAAAGGUCAAGGUGGACAAAGUCAAUCAAUAACCCGAGGGUCACAGAAAAGCAAAGACAGUGGAGGGAAUACUGACAAGAGAAAUACAGCUAGCUCCAAACCUGGACCCUCCCCACCACAUGUUAAGGACAGGAAAGGUAACCUUAGUAAAACAGCAGAUGUGCCAGCAAACACCAGGAAGGUUGUUUUAACGGGCAAAGGCAAAUUGUUGACACCUUCAAGCUCUGGACAGUCAGAACCUUUUGUUUCAAAGAAAGGCAAAAGUCAACCAUUGAAAACUGAUAACUAUAAUCUAAUCAUUGACAGUAGAAGGGAAUCUACAUUGAAAUCAAAUUUGACUGUGAAACUUAACUCUGGGGCAACAAGAGGUUCAGAUGCAAAGGACAAAGUUCGUGUCAGCAAGGGAAUAGAUUCUAAGAAAAGAGUCCUGCCAGAUGUUGACAAACUCAAGUUCAAGGCUGGAGGCUUUGCAGUGAAGAAAACGACCGACAGUGAGAAAAGAACUGUGUUUGAUAGGCUCUCCCAGGGUAAAGAGAGCCCUAAUGCUGUACCCAGUAAACACAAAGGUAAUGUUGAGUUGAACCUGUCUGCUGUUUCCCCUGUUACAUCUGUGUCUGUGAAGACCAUAGUAACUGAAAGUAGUUCUCUAGUGCCUAAAGACCACACACCAGAGACUCCAACAGUCAGCAGCAACAGCAGCACUACGCUCUUGCCAACUACAGCAUCAGCCACUUCCAAUCAGAAGGAUUCGAGCAGAGAUCACAAGUUCAGUGACUCUACAGAUCAAUGUGCCAAACGGACCGGUGACUCAAACAACACUGAGUGUUUUGUGGUGAAAUCAGACAAAUGUACAGACAAGUAUGUGUUUAAGGUUGACCUGAAGCCUAAAUCAAAAGGUCUGAGUCGGUCCCAUAGUGAUGUUCUUCCCCAAACUCGAAGCUGGUUUAAGAAAACUGGUCAGGUAGAAUGCAAUCCUUUGAAAAGUUUUGAGAAUCGGUCUGAUAUUGAAAAAGCCUUCAUGGAUAUGCUAGAUGAUAUUGACCAUGUUAGUACAGCAUCUGAUACUAAACUGUCUGAUCUAGAAAUCAGUGAUGAUGACCUUGACCAAGUUACCAGCAAGACUAGCAUACAGACAAUUGCUGAGAGUACUGACAAUGAUAGAGAUAUGACUAUGGAUACUAUUGUUGCUGGUGUCAACCAACAUGUGGAGCAGAGUAAAUCAUGGAUAUUGUUGCGUAAUGUGAAGGAAGACCUAAGUGCAAUAAAGUUCAUAGAUGAGAAUGACAACAGUGAGGUGCUCGGGAAUGUUGAUGGAGGGCAACAUGGACAAAUGACCAGUGGCCAGCCUGCCACUUUAGGUGUGGAAAGUAGGCCGAGCACCAUAGAGGAGGUGGCCUCGUGUCCUGAAGAAAACAACAAUGUCCAGGAGAAGUUGACUAUUCGUGAUGUAGAAUCUGAUGUGAUGGACAAUUUUGCUGGAGUUGUGGAUACUGCUGGUGUGCCCAGUGGGUCAGACAGCAUAGAGAGGGAGACAUCCAGUGGCCACAGUGACAACACUGUGUCUGCCCACAGUGACAGUGCAAUAACAUACCAAGAGGAUGAUGAUGGCACAGUGACGGUCCAGCAGGUGACUCAGGAUGACCAUCAGGAUAGGGUAGUGACUGUCCGGUCCAAGAUUUUCCGUACUCCCAGCAAUGCCCAGGCUGAGGAGCGGGACACUGUUGUAGAGACGUUGUUCACAUCGCCCGGUGGAACACAACUGCAAGAGCGUGAUGUCAUCAAGACCAAGAAGAGGCUGACAUCUCGAGGUUCCAACUACUUCCAACGCAGUGUGCAAGUCACAAGACGGGUUCGGGACACAGCAGGUGGGGAGGUCGUGGAGCAGGAUAACUGUGUGGAGUCCGACAGCAAGUCAGUGUCCAAGGGGCAGUCGUGGGGAGACAGAGUCAUCACCAAGGUCACCCUAGACAAGCCGAAUCAACAGCAGCCCAUGAUACAAGAGGCAGCAGAUGCACCUAAGAAAUCCCAUGCUACCCUGGUGCUGAGCAAGCUGAAUGUGUCCAAGGCCAGCAGCGGGUAUGGGAGUGUGUCCGGGUCAGAGGAGGAUGACCGUGAGGAGAUCAUAGACAUCCAUCAGACAAGACCAAAAGGUUGUCCGGAGAUCACCGUCCCCGUGAAGGACGUGGAUGUGAGGGAGGGGGAUGACGUGGUGCUGGAGUGUGCUGCCACAGCCGACCCUGCACCCGCGGUCACCUGGUAUCUGGGGUAUCAGCAGAUAGAUGCAGAUGAUAAUCGGUAUCAUACACACUUUGUUGAAGCCAGUGGCAAGGCCACCCUCACCAUCUGCUGUGCCGAAAACAUGGACAGUGGUCAGUUUCGCUGUGUGUUCACCAAUCAGUAUGGAGAGGCAGAGACCAAGAACUCAGUUACAGUCAAGAAGAAACCUGAGAAAGUCCCAGUGUUUUCAUUGGGUCUGCAUGAUGAGACGGUGAUAGAGGGGCACUCCAUCACCUUGACCUGUACAGUGGCAGAUGCUGAGACCAUUGGUUGGUACAAGGAUGGGUUUGUCCAACGCAACUCCUCAGACUUCAAGCAGAGCUAUGAUGGAGAUGUUGCCCGUCUCGAGAUUGGAGAAGUCUUUCUGGAUGAUGUUGGGGAAUAUGCCUGUGUUGCUCGCAAUGAGUUGGGGGAGGAUCGCACGGCAUGCCAAAUAACUGUGACAGCCUGUGACACGGAGACGUCCGUUGUGCCCAUGUUCCUCACCAAGUUCACCAAGUCUGUCAUCAAGGUCGGGGACAAGCUCCUCCUGGAGUGUGAUAUUAUUGGGUCACCAGAACCAGGGAUCAACUGGACCAAAGAUGGCCGUCCUCUGCGGGAGGACUGCCCAUAUAACGAAAUGUACGACGGACGUACAGCAAAACUUGAAAUAGAGGAUGUCACAACCGAUGAUUCAGGGAAAUAUGAAUGUAUUGCUGUUAAUGAAGCUGGUCGAGUGUCUCUUGAUGCCAGUGUCACAGUGCAGGUAAAGAACAAGUCUCCAUCUGUGACGGUUCCACUGUGUGAUGUGGACAUUAAGGCAGGUGAGAGUGCCAUCUUGACUUGUCACAUCUCAGGCUUUCCACAGCCAAGCGUCCUAUGGAGGAAGAAUGGAAUGUUGAUUGGGCACACCAAGGACUUUAAACAGAUGUAUGAUGGCAGGAUAGUGAAACUGGAGAUCUAUGGAGUGUGUUUCCAGGACAGUGGGCAGUAUGAAUGUGUCGCACGCAAUGGACUGGGAGAGACUUCAACCACAUGUCUACUCACAGUGAAAGAUACAUCAGCCCCACAAGAAUCAAUGUUGCCACCAUCCUCCAACAUGUCCAGUUCACCGAUCACAAGAUCUACAACGCCACCACAAACCAUCAUUGGUCUAGCCUUGUCUCGUCCUGCCUCACAGCGGAGUAGUCAUGGACCUCUACACCUGUCUUCUCCCACCAGCCCUACAGCUUCACAGAACAUCAGCAGCAGUUCUGUGGGACAGGCAACUUCCCAUACAUCUACCAAGGUAGUGUCACCCUUGGUCUCUCCAUCUACUGCAUUGCCCACCCACAUUAUUGGGAAGGCUCUGACAAGGUCCGCUUCCAUGACCAUCACUACUGUAGCCUCUUCUGCAACCUCUCCAUCAGCUCCAUUACCAGCAGAUGUUAUUGGGAGUGCUGAAACGUUGUCAUCUUCCAAGAUGUCUACAAGUUUAGUCACUUCUCAAGAAUGCAAGGCUUCUGCUUCUUUCACAAGAUCAGCCUCCCAGAGAUCUAUCACGGUAAUCUCUUCUCCAGAAUCUUCUCCCACCACUCCAUUGUCAUCUCAUGUCCUUGGUAAAGCCAUUACAAGGUCAGCCUCGCAGAGAGUCACAUCAUCCUCUCAGAGCAGCUCAUCACCACCACAGAGCAUUAUUGGAAAAGCACUAGAAACUUUAGCUGCCAAGUCACCUUCAUCACAUCAGAAUGUAAGCAGAUCAUUGUCCUCGCCAACCAAUACUCAAAUAGAAAUAUUAACAAAGCCACUAACUGGCACUGUUGGUGAUCCUCCACGGAUAAUAAGAAACAUUCCAAGUACUGAAUCCAUCUCUGUUCCUGCAAGGUCCAAGCCUCUCAAUACCAUUGGUAAAUUCCUUGCACUGUCCGCAGCUAAGGACUUGGGUCCAUCAUUCCCCAUCAGGACUACACUAGAUAGUCCCACAGAAAGAAGCCCCAGCCCAGUCACACCAACACAGCACCAGGAGAGCAGUAACCUCAAGAAAGCUCAGACACAGACACAGACACAGACACUACAACUGUCCAAAGUGCAGCAAUUACGUUUGCAGUUCUUAGGCGAGGCCAACCAAACCAAACAGAAUAAAGUCAGUAGUGCACCAAUCAGAAGAUGGCAUUCUCUUCCUCCACAAGACCUCAAGCCAAUCAUUGUCAAGAAGGAGAAGGGGUCUGUGACACGAGCCCAGCAGCUACACAGCAGCACUGACUCAAGGGGGGCAACCAUGCCAACCUACGAGGACAUCAAUGAUGAGGAGGAGCUCAUGAAAGUUAUGAGCAAGACAGAUGACUUUGAUGAACGAAAGAAGAUCCGUGCAAGGUUAAAAGAAGUGAGAGAAAUAGAUAAAUUGGAGCGAGAAGCAAAGCGGAUGCAGAGGGAGAAGGAGUCGGAAGAUGUUGUGAAGAAGAGGUUCGAGAAAGCAGAAGAAGAUAAGAAGAGGAAGAUGCAGCAGUUCUCAGACAUGGCUGCCAAACCCUCUUCUGUGGCGACAACAACCAAGACUGGAUCUGAUGGAGCCCAGAUAACCACAACCACCACUACCAGCACAUCCACACAGAAGGCAGAUGGAGGCGGCACUCGUACACAGACUGUGAAGAAAACAGAAACGACCAUAACAAAAACAUCAGGCAUGGGUGGCAUGCAGUACGCAAAGCCAGGGGCAGCAGAAGCAUUGAGAAAGCUGUCUGACCAGCUUCAGACCACGAGUCCCCCGGGCACCAGUGGGAGGCUGAUGGUGAAGACAGAGUCCUGGAACAGUAGCGAUGGGGUGGUACAUACGUCAGAGAAGACAGAGUCAUGGGGAGCAAAACCAGGAGGUUCUCGUGGUGCCAUGGCGGCCUUCAAACAGAUGGAUGCCACCAAUAGUCCUGCACAACCCAAUGCUUUAGUUACCGUAUCACUGGCUAAGAAGGCUGCUACAACAAUGAGACGUAACGCUAUUGCCAUCAAACAGGAAGUGCUUGCCUUCUGCAAACACAACACGAAAGAAUACAAGACGAUACAGAUCACCAACUUCUCUAGUUGUUGGAACAAUGGACUGGCAUUCUGUGCACUCAUCCAUCACUUCUUCCCGGAUGCCUUCGACUUCAAUGCACUCACUCCAAAAAACAGACGGUAUAACUUUGAUCUGGCCUUUGACACUGCAGAGCAGAGGGCUGACAUAGCGCCUCUACUGGAUACAGAUGAUAUGGUGCGGAUGAAAAACCCCGACUGGAAGUGUGUGUUUACCUAUGUCCAGAGUAUCUACCGACAUCUGCGUGAUCAUGACGCCAACAAGGCCAAGGAAGCAGAGCAGUGAUUGGCUGACCAGCUGACCACUGCUUACACAGCAUCAUGCAGUUGUUGUUAUUUUUGUCAUGUAACUUAUUGAGUAUGUAACAUUUAAUCAUGUACUGGUCCUGCUGCACUGGCUGGCCGGACGGCUGUGUAUGAUGCAGCAGCUAGUGCAGGAGUACCAAGUAGAACACGGGUGACACAGUGAUUCCGACUUCCAACUCACCUGACUCAGUCCUUGGGCAUAAGCACAGAUCUGUUUCGUCUCUUUCGAAUUUGCCAUCACAUGGCUUCAAAUAGUGAAGUCACAAUGAUCAACAGAUAAGUGUUUAUUAUAAAAUUAUCCAAGAAGUAUGUGGAUGGAAGGCUAGUGAAGAGGAUGGAGUCUCAUAACUGUGUAUCACAUCACCUGUUGAAGAGUGUAAGAAGAACAUAUUACAACCAGUAGGUAGCCAAAACAGUUUCUAUAGCAAAUACAAAACCAAGGUCUUCCAGGUUUCUACUCUACAUUGGGUAUUAUGUUUACUGUGAUUGUGAUAUUAGAUUGGUGUCUUUAUGUGGUACAGGUAUAUCGUGUGCAGUAGAUGACAAACAUGGCCAUGUCAUGGUCGGCUGAUCAGCAUUUGAACCACCAGUCUGGAGCUCAGCGUGUGCUAUUGCGGUAUCUGUUGUGGGGAGUGAUGAAGGACAGUAUGAUGCUGAGACUGUGGAUGGGAAGGUCCAUAGCAUCUCAAGUCAGCUGAGCUCUGAUAGUGUGCUGCAGUCAUGGAAUGUUCCUUGCUUCACCUUGCAGCCAAAUAACAUCCAUACAUCAUGGUGUAUCUUACCCCUUGUACCAACUCACUGUCACACCUGCAGGUGACUGGGUCACUGUCACACCUGCAGGUGACUGAGCACUGUAACACCUUUGGGUAACUGAACUUCUGUCACACCUGCAGGUGACUGAUCCACUGUCACACCUGCAGGUGACUGAGCCACUGUAACACCUGUGGGUGACUGAUCAACUGUCACACCUACCAGUGACCGGGCCACUAUAUCACCUGUGGAUGACUGAUCAACUGUCAUACCUGCAGGUGACUAGGCCACUGUCACACAUGCAGGUUCCUGAACUUCUGUCACAACUGCAGGUAACUGAUCCACUGUCACACCUGCAGGUGACUGGGCCACUUUAACAGCCUUGUGUGACUGAUCCACUGUCACACUUGCAGGUCACUGAUCAACUGUCACACCUGCAGGUGACUGAUGCACUGUAACACCUGCAGAUGACUGAUCCACUGUCACACUUGCAGGUAACUGAUCCACUGUCACACCUGCAGGUGACUGAUCCACUGUCAAAACUGCAGGUGACUGAUCCACUGUCACACCUGCAGGUGACUGGGCCACUUUAACAGCUUUGUGUGACUGAUCCACUGUCACACUUGCAGGUCACUGAUCCACUGUCACACCUGCAGGUUACUGAUCAACUGUCAAAACUGCAGGUGACUGAUCCACUGUCACACCUGCAGAUGACUGAUCCACUGUCACACCUGCAGGUGACUGGGCCACUGUAACAGCUUUGUGUGACUGAUCCACUGUCACACUUGCAGGUCACUGAUCCACUGUCACACCUGCAGGUGACUGAUCCACUGUCACAUCUGCAGGUGACUGGGCCAGUGUCACACCUGUGAUUGAUUACACCUCAGUUGUGAUUAUGAAUGUAGAUAUUCAACUUGGAAGCCAAAAGGUUUCAUGAGUUGUGACGUUGAAUGUCGCCAACUCCAUGUAAUGCAUUUAGUCCUGUGUUAGACGUGAAGGAUUUGAUAGGCGAGUGUGCAUAAUAUAAACUACCAUGCAUGUAUAUUCAACUGUGGAUAAGACUGCAUACGUAAUGUUGGUGCUUGAUAGGGUUAAUGGUUUUUGUAUUCCUAGAUGAAUGUAGACUUUGUAUCCGGUGUACUAGCGUAGGUAGACCAAGAGCUGCCAUGCUAGUGGCCAACCUUGCUGUUGGAGACUAGUGUUCUGGAGGUCACUGCAAGAUAUGUCCUUGUUUCAUACACACUAUAGGUGAAGAUAUUCGUAGAAGUAAACAGUGCAAUGUAAUCCCCUUGUGUGAGAUAACUGGCAUUUCAAUCCACAAUACUCAGCAACUUGUAGUCGGGCCCCAUGUGGACAGUGAGAAGCAUUAACAAUGCUGGUAGGUGCUUGACACUGGUCUUAUUCUCAAAUAGAUCACCUCAUUGGUUUAUGCGUCUUAUUCGGCCUAUGCAGUGCUUUGGGCUUCUUUCUAACCAGGUCUGUCUUCAUACAGGGUCUUCUUUACAACGAGUCUACAACAAAGCUAAAACAAAUGUCUUUUUCAGUGUUAAAUUCUAUGGUGGUAUAAUCCCUUCUGUGGUGAGAUUAUAUUAUAAGUUUCUUGAUAUUAUUUCUUGACAUUAUGUUAUACAGAAUGGUAUCUUUUGAGUAUUCCUCUCCAUAAAUGUAAUGAUAAAAUCAAUGGUUCUCAUAAGGACUUACACUACAGGGAACUUUGUGCAGGGUUUAUCACUUAAGUUAUUUGAUGUUAUAGAAAUGCUUCACUGAAAGGUAAUACAAACUUUGGAGGGCUUUGCUUGGAUGUUAGGCAAGGGGUCCACUGCCCCAGCCAAUGUACCUGUGUACACGUCUCUGUCACUGUGUCUGUCCAGCAUUACUCUGCUUUUGAUGAAGUAAUGUGUUUUAUUUCCAUUUUGUAGAUAUUCAAUUUUACUAUCAUAACUUGUACAGUCAACUGUUUUGUAGUGAACUAUUUUCAGUGCUAUUCAAUAUAACUUCUUGUUUUAUUUUUGUUUUGCAUACCAACAUUAAGUUUGUAGUUGUGUUCUCAGGGUGCCGCAAUAUGUAGUGAUAUAUGAUGUGAUGUCCCACGAGCAACAACCUCAGUCAGACCACCAUCAUGACACAUUGAGGCUGCAACACAAAAACGAAAAUAGGUUUCUUAUCUCUUUUUGUAGUUAUGUCCUUUUAAUAUCCAAGUAGUCGGAUAUGUGUUCUCACAUCCCUGUAUUGUAAGAUUCUCUACUGUAAGUGGUGGCACUUUCUGUUGUUGCUCCAUGGUAACAUGUUCGUAAAUCUGUGCCAAAUUUGAAAAAAUGUUUACAAUUGUACUUAAUGACAUCCAUUGCUGCCAUCUGCCACUGGUUGUGAGGGAUCUGUAGAGUAUGGUUAGCAGACAGCAGGUGUGCCGACCAGGCAGAGUGGAUCAGCACUGUACACUAGGCAGGGGGGCUCUAAUGCAGCAAAACUGUGUACUUUCUGUUGUGUGCAUUUACUGUAUAACUUAACAAGUACACAUCCUGUGCAUAUGUUUCUGUAUCUGUUAAUGAAUAAAAAUAAAAUUAUAUCUGG